rnacentral:rRNA from 1 species
GAACGCUGGCGGGCAGGGCUUAAACAACAUGCAAAGUCGAACGGGCACUUCGGUGCUAGUGGCAGACGGGUGAGUAACACGUGGGAACGUACCUUUCGGUUCGGAAUAAUUCAGGGAAACUUGGACUAAUACCGGAUACGCCCUUCGGGGGAAAGAUUUAUCGCCGAUAGAUCGGCCCGCGUCUGAUUAGCUAGUUGGUGAGGUAAUGGCUCACCAAGGCGACGAUCAGUAGCUGGUCUGAGAGGAUGAUCAGCCACAUUGGGACUGAGACACGGCCCAAACUCCUACGGGAGGCAGCAGUGGGGAAUAUUGGACAAUGGGCGCAAGCCUGAUCCAGCCAUGCCGCGUGAGUGAUGAAGGCCUUAGGGUUGUAAAGCUCUUUUGUCCGGGAAGAUAAUGA